rnacentral:rRNA from 2 species
CGCGUUGAUAGGCCGGGUGUGUAAGCGCAGCGAUGCGUUGAGCUAACCGGUACUAAUGAACCGUGAGGCUUAACCUUACAACGCCGAAG